AUUGAACGCUGGCGGCAGGCCUAACACAUGCAAGUCGAGCGAGCGGCGGACGGGUGAGUAAUGUAUGGGGACUGCCCGAUAGAGGGGGAUAACUACUGGAAACGGUGGCUAAUACCGCAUACUAUCGGAUAACCCAUAUGGGAUUAGCUAGUAGGUGGGGUAAAGGCUCACCUAGGCGACGAUCUCUAGCUGGUCUGAGAGGAUGAUCAGCCCCACUGGGACUGAGACACGGCCCGGAGUCCGUCGGAGGAAGCAGUGGGGAUUAUGGCACAAUGGGCGCAAUCCUGAUACAGCCAUGCCGCGUGUAGGAAGAAGGCCUUAGGGUUGUAAAGUACGUUCAGCGGGGAGGCGUUACCCGCAUAAGAAGCACCGGCUAACUCCGUGCCAGCCGCCGCGGUAAUUC
rnacentral:rRNA from 1 species